CAGCCACCGCGGGAAUACGUAGGUGGCAAGCGUUGUCCGGAAUUAUUGGGCGUAAAGGGCUCGCAGGCGGUUUCUUAAGUCUGGUGUGAAAGCCCCCGGCUCAACCGGGGAGGGUCAUUGGAAACUGGGAAACUUGAGUGCAGAAGAGGAGAGUGGAAUUCCACGUGUAGCGGUGAAAUGCGUAGAGAUGUGGAGGAACACCAGUGGCGAAGGCGACUCUCUGGUCUGUAACUGACGCUGAGGAGCGAAAGCGUGGGGAGCGAACAGGAUUAGAUACCCCAGUAGUCCCUGUCUCUUAUAC
rnacentral:rRNA from 1 species